GAUUUCUGGUUUAAUGUACCUGUCCCGCUGCGGUAACGCAUGUGAGUGACGGAGUAUGUUUGCCAUCCUUCUAGAGAAUACUAGCUAUCCUUUACUGGACCGGUUAGUGUCAUCUAGAUCUUUUACUUUGAAAAAAUUAGAGUGUUUCAAGCAGGCGUUUUGCUAUGAAUACAUUAGCAUGGAAUAAUAAUCUAGGACUUUCGGUUCUAUUUUGUUGGUGUUCUGGAGCUGAAGUAAUGAUUGAUAGGGAUAGUUGGGGGUGCUAGUAUUCAAUGGCCAGAGGUGAAAUUCUCGGAUUCCUUGAAGACUAACUUAUGCGAAAGCAUU
rnacentral:rRNA from 1 species